CCGAAUUGUCAACAAGAGUUGUUGCUGGUCCUCAAACGGGGGCACGUGCACGCUCCUGUUCACACAUCCACUCACACCCUGUGCACCCUCUGUAGUUCUAUGGUCAGGGGGGGCUUGUCCCCUCCUGCUGUGGUCCUGCAUCUUUACACACACUGUAACAAAGUUCUUAUGGAAUGCAUGCCGCGGUUUAACGCAAUACAAUA
rnacentral:misc_RNA from 1 species